CUCGGGCUUACAAUCUCAGGCACGCCUCCCUCCUGGGCUCAGCGAGGGACUACCGCUCCCGCCCUUCCGGCAGACAGGAGCGUGCAGGGACGCGGACUGAAGGGCUGGGCGAGAGCGAGGAGGGCUGAACGGGUGGGAAGGCCACGCACGCGGGGGCGUGGCCUUGGCCGGGAAGCGGCCGCCGCUCGUGGUGCGGAUCUAAGGAGAGAGCGGCGGAGACAACGCCAGGCGUGGGCGCGAACACUCCUGGUGGCACUCGGUGUUCUUAGGUCCCCUCGCUAUUGGCCGGGACGCGGGAGAGCGCGGCGGGGGCGCGAGGUGGGAGCGGCCAAUGCGAAACUGGCUGGUGCUGCUGUGCCCUUGCGUGCUCGGGGCCGCGCUGCACCUCUGGCACCUCUGGCUCCGUUCCCCGCCGGACCCCCACAACACCGGGCCCAGCGCGGCAGAUCAAUCAGCCUUAUUUCCUCACUGGAAAUUUAGCCACUAUGAUGUGGUAGUUGGUGUGUUAUCAGCUCGAAAUAACCACGAACUUCGAAAUGUGAUAAGGAACACCUGGCUGAAGAAUUUGCUGCAUCAUCCUACAUUAAGUCAACGUGUGCUUGUGAAGUUCAUAAUAGGUGCCCGUGGCUGUGAAGUGCCUGUGGAAGACAGGGAGGAUCCUUACUCCUGCCGACUGCUCAACAUCACCAAUCCAGUUUUGAAUCAAGAAAUUGAGGCAUUCAGCUUUCCUGAAGAUGCCUCCUCAUCUAGACUCUCUGAAGACCGAGUUGUCAGCGUGAGCUUCAGAGUUCUCUACCCAAUCGUGAUUACCAGUCUUGGAGUGUUCUACGAUGCCAGUGAUGUUGGUUUUCAAAGGAACAUCACAGUCAAGUUGUAUCAGACAGAGCAGGAGGAGGCCCUUUUCAUCGCCCGAUUCAGUCCUCCAAGUUGUGGCGUACAAGUGAACAAGCUCUGGUAUAAGCCCGUGGAACAGUUCAUCUUACCAGAGAGCUUUGAAGGUACAAUCGUGUGGGAAAGCCAAGAUCUCCAUGGCCUCGUGUCCAGAAACCUGCACAGAGUGACAGUGAAUGAUGGAGGGGGUGUUCUCAGAGUCCUUGCAGCUGGGGAAGGGGCACUGCCUCAUGAAUUCAUGGAAGGUGUGGAGGGAGUUGCGGGUGGCUUUAUCUACACUGUUCAGGAGACUUGCAGAUCACAUACAGGAUCUGCAGGUGGAAGAUGCCUUACUGCAGGAGGAAAGCAGUGUCCAUGACGACAUUGUCUUCGUGGAUGUUGUGGAUACUUACCGGAAUGUUCCUGCAAAAUUACUGAACUUCUAUAGAUGGACUGUGGAAUCCACCAGCUUCGAUUUGCUGCUCAAGACAGAUGACGACUGUUAUAUAGACUUAGAAGCUGUGUUUAAUAGAAUUGCUCAGAAGAAUCUAGAUGGGCCUAAUUUUUGGUGGGGAAAUUUCAGGUUGAAUUGGGCAGUGGACAGAACCGGAAAAUGGCAGGAGCUGGAAUACCCGAGCCCGGCUUACCCUGCCUUUGCAUGUGGGUCAGGGUAUGUGAUCUCCAAGGAUAUCGUUGACUGGCUGGCAGGCAACUCCAGAAGGUUAAAGACCUAUCAGGGUGAAGAUGUCAGCAUGGGCAUUUGGAUGGCAGCCAUAGGACCUAAAAGACACCAGGACAGCCUGUGGCUGUGUGAGAAAACCUGUGAGACAGGAAUGCUGUCUUCUCCUCAGUACUCACCAGAAGAGCUGAGCAAACUCUGGGAACUGAAGGAGCUGUGUGGGGAUCCUUGUCAGUGUGAAGCAAAAGUACGAUGAUCCCCAAACCCCAGGGUCUGUAAGUGCAAGGAAAGCCGUGGCUGGUAUACCGUGAGCUGUAAGCAGUAGGGUAUUACUAGUGUUUGCACAGAUCGUAAUCAAUCAACUCAUACGGUAUCAUAAGUUUUUAUUUAUAAAUUUAAAGAUUAUUUAUACCAAAUUAUUUUACAAAAAAUAUUGCUAACUUUUGAUCACUUAUACUAAUUAGCAACUCAUUACCAUUUUUGGUUAAAUGGCCAAAUUCAGAAAAUAACUCCAUUUGAAUCUCCAGCAGGGUUACAAAAAAGCUCUACAAAACUUAAUUAGGCCAGAAAGAAACUACAAAGAUGCUGUGUGGCACAGGGGCCACAUAUACCAAAGUCUGGGUUGCUGGAAAUACCAGUUUGUGGAUCUCUGAUACAACCUGACCUUGAAAAGGAAAUGUAAACUAAAGUUUGGUAUCUUACUUUUAAAGAUGUUUAUCUACAUACAUAUCAUGUUUUCUUUUACUGUUUAAGUAAAUCCUGAAUGUCUUAGCUUGGUACUGAGACACACGCUCGCUAAACUGUUUUUGUGAGUAGAGUCAAAGUAAACACCUCAGGGUUCAGUGUCACAGGGAGGUGUAGGGGAAGGCACUACUCUGCCUUGCCUGAUAUGUUUACCUAAGCUUGCACAGGAGGUGGUGAGACGUGCGAGACAGGCUCAGUGUACGCAUAGCAUAGAGAAAGUAUGUUACAGGUCUGAAGAUGUGGUUCCUCAGCUUAAAGGACAUUUCUCAGAAUGACCAACCAAAUCACUGUAGUGAACUUUUUAAAAGUUAAGUAGCCCACAGCAGAUGUUAACUGUGCUCAGAUUUAGACUACUGUUUCUACUCCAUGUUUACAUCUUCACAUAGUGAAUGCAGUAAGGUGUGAAAACAGAAAGGGCAGAGAAAUCAAUAGUAAUCAAAGCCUUUAUUAUUCUAUUAAUAUACAACCAAAUGGUCUUUUCCCAACAAAACAUAACAUCAUUUGUGAGGGCAAAGGUUUUGUUUCUGGUGUAUACAUUCCAGUCGUUAAACUCUUACGGUUGGACUGUUACCAUCGCACUAGUAGGCAAUCUCCAUUUUCCACAGAAUAAAACUGUAAUGGCUGUAGGUCAUUUUCUAGUUCAAUUUCUCUGCCCGGCAUCUAAAAUUAAAAUCAAGUAGGGAGCAGUAAGACCGAUCUGAUGGUGCAUGCUAUCCAUGCCACCCUCCAAGGGCAGGUGAGGUGUGAAGUCAAAGGCUGCCUCCAUUUAGAGCCUGUUAUGUAUGGCUCACAGUACUGUAGAGGACUAAGCUUAGCUUUGUGUUUUUGCUUAGCAACUUACCUUGGAACUUUCGUAGGACAACAGAAGUUCUGACACAGGAACUUUGAGAAGACGUGACAACAGUCCCUUUACCUUUUGAACUGUCAUGGAGUCUGUCAAAGAAAAGAAACUUUUAAGUGACAACUACAUGUAGAAACAGCUCAGGAGAGGCAGCCAUUGAUGGAAGGCUUGAGUCAUUCUACCAGGUGAUCUUUUAACAAAGUGGGAAAUGGAGCCAGUGUUUGACCCAAGAGGUCUUGACAGUGAGGUGCCAUACCAUUUCAGUAGCAUUUACUAUUUCUUCCUCAAUCGGAAUAACCAGAAAUAAUUAUCUCACCGAAGAGGACACAAUCUAGGCCUUUGUGAUAACUUCCUAAGGGGUUGCUGAAGUUCCCUGGAGUGGGGGCCUUGCGGGGCCCCUCCCAGCACGAGCAUCCAGUCACCAUCAGGAUGUGCACACAUGACCACUAGGUGUGGGAAAGGAACUCUGAAGAACAAAUGCGCUGGUCCGUCAAGAACACACUAGGAAUUUCUUUCCAAAGACAGGUUGUGGUAUAUAUGGAUAUUUUGAUUAAGAAUAUUAGUUUCUCUGAAGCUUUAGCUGAAAGUACAGCAAUAGUGUGGUGUCCCACAAUUAUCACAAUGUAGUCAAUUAUUUUUCUAUAAAUUGUUUUUAUAAAUGCUGUGUUUUUAUGCAACUUGUGAUAAUAAAUAUUCUCUAUUUUAGAAUAAACUA